AAGGGACAGGGAGGGUCGUGG
rnacentral:miRNA from 1 species